ACUUAACAGCUAGCUUCACUCAAAAAACAACAAAACACAAUAAAUAAACCCUAAUACACUAAUACUUAUAAAAUAAAACAUUCACCCAAUCAAGUAUAGGCGAUAGAAAAAUAAAUCUAAAGCAAUAGAAAAAGUACCGCAAGGGAACGCUGAAAAAGAAAUGAAAGAACUCAGUAAAGUUAAACAAAGCAAAGAUUAAUUCUUGUAC
rnacentral:rRNA from 1 species